rnacentral:rRNA from 1 species
GGGGGGAAACCUGGAGCAGCGACGCCGCGUGGGGGAUGACGGCCUUCGGGUUGUAAACCUCUUUCAGCAGGGAAGAAGCGGAAGUGACGGUACCUGCAGAAGAAGCACCCGUCAACUACGUGCCAGCAGCCGCGGUAAUACGUAGGGUGCAAGCGUUGUCCGGAAUUAUUGGGCGUAAAGAGCUCGUAGGCGGUUUGUCGCGUCGGCUGUGAAAACCUGGAGCUCAACUCCAGGCCUGCAGUCGAUACGGGCAGACUUGAGUGUUGCAGGGGAGACUGGAAUUCCUGGUGUAGCGGUGAAAUGCGCAGAUAUCAGGAGGAACACCGGUGGCGAAGGCGGGUCUCUGGGCAACAACUGACGCUGAGGAGCGAAAGCGUGGGGAGCGAACAGGAUUAGAUACCCUGGUAGUCCACGCCGUAAACGUUGGGCGCUAGGUGUGGGGGCCAUUCCACGGUCUCCGUGCCGCAGCUAACGCAUUAAGCGCCCCGCCUGGGGAGUACGGCCGCAAGGCUAAAACUCAAAGGAAUUGACGGGG